rnacentral:misc_RNA from 1 species
CAAACCCUCCGGCACCGGUUUUUCGGAACCGCGCGCCGGGUUUUUGGCGGCGGCGUCACCCCUUCUCCCCUUUCGGGGGUUUAGGGUUCCUGCGCCCCUGCUUAAAUUCGUGAAGUUUGCGGGCCCGUACCACACGACCAUCACGUAGUAAAAAUUUUAUUUUCUCAUGAAGGAUUCGCGUGGAAGGGUGCCCCGCCUCGACACUUAUUUCUGAC